UGUUCACGGCUGGGGUGCCUGUGCGGAUGCCGGAUCGGCGGAUGCGCGGGCUGAGACAACACCCAUCGAACCUGAUCCGGGUCAUGCCGGCGAAGGGAGCCGACCGGAACCCGAC
rnacentral:ncRNA from 2 species